rnacentral:rRNA from 1 species
CAGUCGCCGCGGUAAUACGUAGGGUGCGAGCGUUAAUCGGAAUUACUGGGCGUAAAGCGUGCGCAGGCGGUUCGGAAAGAGAGAUGUGAAAUCCCAGGGCUUAACCUUGGAACUGCAUUUUUAACUACCGGACUAGAGUGUGUCAGAGGGAGGUGGAAUUCCGCGUGUAGCAGUGAAAUGCGUAGAGAUGCGGAGGAACACCGAUGGCGAAGGCAGCCUCCUGGGAUAACACUGACGCUCAUGCACGAAAGCGUGGGGAGCAAACAGGAUUAGAUACCCCUGUAGUCCCUGUCUCUUAUAA